rnacentral:miRNA from 1 species
CCAUCUGCAGUUGGCUGAGCCC